GCAAUGUCAAUAGUGAUAGAAGCAAAAAAAAAAAAAAAAAGUUAUAGAAGCAAUAGGGUUGUACCUGUAGUUAUUCAUGGUCUCUUUCCUGUAUGGUUAAGUUUGUGUCAUUAUUAUUUUAUACAGUUCUUUUUUUUUUUUAAAGAUUUAUUUAUUUAUUUAUGAUAGGCAUAGAGAGAAAGAGAGGAAGAGAUUCAGGAGGAGGGAGAAGCAGGCUCCAUGCCGGGAGCCCGACGCGGGACUCGAUCCCAGGGCUCCAGGAUCGCGCCCUGGGCCAGAGGCAGGCGCCAAACCGCUGAGCCACCCAGGGAUCCCUAUUUUAUACAGUUCUUAACAGUAAACUGAAGUACAGAAGAAAUCACAGCAAAAACAGCUGAUUUUGUGGAUUGUUUAUUGCAAAAGCAGAGGAAAAAUCUGAGAUAAACCGAAGAAGCAAUGUGUUGGAUAUGUAAUACAUGUUCUUUCGGUGCCUUCAAGAUAACAUGAUCAGCAACUUACUCCAUCCCUUUUGAAAAGAAAUAUUGAACUGUGUGGCUGGAUGGUAGAGCAUAGUGGUGAAAAGAUCUUAUUUUGGAAAUCUGUGAGAAAAAGACUCUGCAUUUAGUCUUCCACGUCGGAUUUCUGUAUUUUCACGCACCGUCUUAAAGCAAAAUCAAGAUUUCACAUCUCACUUCCUCUGGUGAACACCCCGUGAAUAAGUAAGGCGAUAAUAUGACAUCUUACUACAAACCUGACUAUUGUUUUCCUGUCCGUGAUUUAGUACAAAGUUGAUCAUCUCCCAAUACCAAGUUGUACUGAAAAUCCCUUGCGUGGAAAUGAAAGUUGUGGCUUGGUUCGGGGAGUGCAUCUAGCUGAGCAACGAGCCUGGGUACAGAAACAACAUUAUUAGAUCAGAGAUACCCCUAAAAGCAGGUAACAAGGCUGCCCCAAGCUUCGACACAUUCUCUCCCCUGUCCUAAGAACCUGCCAAGCCAAGGACGGUUUUAAAUGUUCCAUAAUAGAACGUCGGAAGAAAGGAAUGUAAACCGGAACCAUAAUCUGUAGAACCACCUGGAGGAAACUGGAUGAAAUGCAGAUUCUCUGGCCCCACCCCAAUUGUAGCCGGUGUUUCUUGAUAGGGCUCAGGAAUCUGCAUUUUAAGCAAGCUCCUCAUGCAAAUCCGAUGCCUACUGAAGCUUGAGUUCCUUGGCAGGAGAGACAGUAAGUGCCAAGAGUGGAGGCGUAAGAAGAAAAACCAUUUAUCAGAGAAGAAAAACUUCCCUGGAAACCACUUACGGAGGUCGGACAAUUUCAUGACUGGAAAGAGGACCUUUGAGAUCCAGAGGCCAGGCCAGAGCUUCUCUCACAUUGUGAGGUGUGCCGGAAUCACCGGGAUCCUGUUCAAAUGAAGUAGGUUGUGGAUGGGGCCUGGAAUUCUGCAUUUUGAGCUAGCUCCCAGGUAAAGCCUUGCUUCGAGUCUGGGGGAUCACCUUUGGAUUAGCAAGGAUUAGUAUUUUACAGAGAAGGAACCUGAGGCUCAGAGAGAAAAAUACUUGCUCAGAGCUGCAAGCAUCCAAGUGCAUCCCUUCGUGCUGCUGCUGACUAAGGAGGCUGAGCCCAUGUAGGAGCCUCUUACCUGCUGGGUAUGGGGAGCUGGCUCCCUGCAGGGGGAUUGCAAAUGUGGGCCAGUCCUGGAGCAGGGCUACAGUACAGAUUUCUCCUCAGCACCACAGGGGUGAUCUGAGGAGCCGCCAAGUGGCCGUUCUGCCACAGUCUGUUGUUUCUUAUCAUCAUGACUACAUCUCCCAGGUCUGGGAUCUUGAAUUCCACUUGGAAUUCCAUGCAACUUCUUGGGUAAUAAUUAGAUAAACUGAAUGCAUGACCCAAUGCACUGACAUGCGCCUGGAUUUUAGCAAAUUUUCAGUCCGAUGCUAGCACACUGAGCAAGUUAGCUAUCCUGAGUUGCAAAGGCAAUAUGGUUUAUAAUCUAUUAAAUAGACUCCGUGGUAUCAGGAUUGGGGAGCAUUCUUUGACACAGGAAAUCCUGUUUCACACAGUGGCUGGUAAACUCAGAAAACUGAUUAUCCCAGACCUGGUACAGAUUCAAAGAUCUUUCCCACUCUCCCUAGAGGGUGGAUAAGAUAGUUUAUCAUCCUUAAUGAAAGGGGAUGCUUGGGUGGGGAGGGGGAGUACUUCUCAACCUUUGAGGUUGAGGUCGGAGACCUUGUCAGUGACAACCCAGGACAGGACCACUGAAGAACUGAGCUGGGGAGUAUGUUUUAUAAUCACUAAUUUUCAGGUAGUGAAGAACUAUGGUAGGACAUUUGGACUCCAGAAAUUUCUUUCUUUCUUUUUUUUUUUUUGCUCCAGAAAUUUCUAAACAAAAAUGUUACUAGAACCCACCCUCCCCCAGACAUACACACACACAUACACAGGCAUUCUCUGCCUAUCCCCUCAAAUGAAGCAUCUUUUCCUCUGGCUUCCAAUUUCUGUUGGAAGGAAAUGUCUCUGGGUUAGAACAGUCUGUGAUCUUUUCCAAAGACAUGAGCGAGUCCUCUUGAAACAUCACAUGUUACGUUUGUAUCUUUUGCCCCUGGUCCAAAGACACAUUUUCCCUGAGCCUUCUUAUCUAGAAAUCCUAAGGCAGCUGGGACAGAUGAAUGGUAGGCAGAGUCUCCAGCCCUUGUGGUCCCAAUCUGAGUGAAGUGUGAAAGCUUCCCAGAGGAUCAGAGUCCAGAGAAAAGUUAAUUUUUGGUUCUAGGCAUGUGGACUUAGGUUUUUGUGCCGGUGAGGAGCGAGGGCUCGGAAUGAGUAAAC